AACGAACGCUGGCGGCGUGGAUAAGACAUGCAAGUCGAACGAGAUCACUUUUUGUAGCAAUACAGAAAGUGAUUUAGUGGCGAACGGGUGCGUAACACGUGGGCAAUCUGCCUUAAAGUGGGGGAUAGCUCGGCGAAAGACCGAAUUAAUACCGCAUGUGGUGAAAGGGAGACAUCUCUCUGAAUCCAAAGCCGGGGCAACCUGGCGCUUUUUGAGGAG
rnacentral:rRNA from 1 species